UCAGCAGCCCGCGGUAAUACGUAGGGUGCGAGCGUUGUCCGGAUUUAUUGGGCGUAAAGGGCUCGUAGGUGGUUGAUCGCGUCGGAAGUGUAAUCUUGGGGCUUAACCCUGAGCGUGCUUUCGAUACGGGUUGACUUGAGGAAGGUAGGGGAGAAUGGAAUUCCUGGUGGAGCGGUGGAAUGCGCAGAUAUCAGGAGGAACACCAGUGGCGAAGGCGGUUCUCUGGGCCUUUCCUGACGCUGAGGAGCGAAAGCGUGGGGAGCGAACAGGCUUAGAUACCCUGGUAGUCCACGCUGUNAACGGUGGGUACUAGGUGUGGGGUCCAUUCCACGGGUUCCGUGCCGUAGCUAACGCUUUAAGUACCCCGCCUGGGGAGUACGGCCGCAAGGCUAAAACUCAAAGGAAUUGACGGGGCCCCGCNCAAGCGGCGGAGCAUGCGGAUUAAUUCGAUGCAACGCGUAGAACCUUACCUGGCGUUUGACAUGGAUGCGGGAGUGCCUCAGAAGAAUGGGUGUGCCUCNUUUGGGGUGCGGUUNCACAGGUGGUGCAGNC
rnacentral:rRNA from 1 species